GACGAACGCUGGCGGCGUGCUUAACACAUGUAAGUCGAACGGAAAGGCCCUGCUUUUGUGGGGUGCUCGAGUGGCGAACGGGUGAGUAACACGUGAGUAACCUGCCCUUGACUUUGGGAUAACUUCAGGAAACUGGGGCUAAUACCGGAUAGGAGCUCCUGCUGCAUGGUGGGGGUUGGAAAGUUUCGGCGGUUGGGGAUGGACUCGCGGCUUAUCAGCUUGUUGGUGGGGUAGUGGCUUACCAAGGCUUUGACGGGUAGCCGGCCUGAGAGGGUGACCGGCCACAUUGGGACUGAGAUACGGCCCAGACUCCUACGGGAGGCAGCAGUGGGGAAUAUUGCACAAUGUGCGGAAGCCUGAUGCAGCAACGCCGCGUGCGGGAUGACGGCCUUCGGGUUGUAAACCGCUUUCGCCUGUGACGAAGCGUGAGUGACGGUAAUGGGUAAAGAAGCACCGGCUAACUACGUG
rnacentral:rRNA from 1 species